rnacentral:rRNA from 1 species
CUCACUAAAUCAGUUAUAGUUUAUUUGAUGGUCUCUUUUGUCUUUUUUUACCUACUUGGAUAACCGUGGUAAUUCUAGAGCUAAUACAUGCGCAAGGUCCCGAGCGCGGGGGAGUGGGGCUUCACGGCUCUGUCCUCGCAUGCGCAGAGGGAUGUAUUUAUUAGGUUAAAAACCAGCGUAGUCAGCAAUGGCUACAAACUCCCCUGGUGAUUCAUAGUAACUCUUUCGGAUCGCAUUCAUG